rnacentral:rRNA from 1 species
GCUCCCAUCCAGGAAGGCAGCAGGCGCGUAAAUACCCAUCCUGAUACGGGGAGGUAGUGACAAUAAAUAACACGUACGGGGCCCAUUGGGUCUUGUAAUCUGGAAUGAGUACAAUCUAAAUCCCUUAACGAGGAUCAAUUGGAGGGCAAGUCUGGUGCCAGCAGCCCGCGGUAAUUCCAGCUCCAAUAGCGUAUAUUAAAGUUGUUGCAGUUAAAAGCUCGUAGUUGGGAUUUCUGGUAGGAGGUGACCGUGCCAGACUUGAUUGUCUGUGUAUUGUGUUGUCUCCAGCCAUCCUUGUGGAGAACUUUUCUUGCAUUAAAUUUUGUAGGAAUUGGGGACCCCGCAUCGUUUACUGUGAAAAAAAUUAAGAGUGUUUAAAAGCAGGCAAUCGCUUGAAUGCAUUAAGCAUGGAAUAAUAAGGAUAGGACUUUUGGUACUAUUUUGGUUUGGUUUUGCAUACCAAGAUUAAUGGAUCAACAAGGAACAGCUUUGAGCGAUAUUUCGUAAUGAAACAUUGUCCAGAGGGUGAAAAUUCUUGGGAUUUUUAGAUCCA